CAGCAGUGGGGAAUAUUGCACAAUGGGCGAAAGCCUGAUGCAGCAACGCCGCGUGAAGGAAGAAGGGUUUCGGCUCGUAAACUUCUAUCAACAGGGACGAAGACAAUGACGGUACCUGAGUAAGAAGCCCCGGCUAACUACGUGCCC
rnacentral:rRNA from 1 species